AGCCCUGAUGAUUCUAUGCAACAGAUGGCAGCACUUUGUUUGAACUUGGAAGCUAAGCUGGUUCAGGCUUGGUUAAUAUUUGGAUGGAAGCCCAGCAAGAAUUCUAGGCAUCUUGGAUA
rnacentral:rRNA from 1 species